GAUGAACGCUGGCGGCGUGCCUAAUACAUGCAAGUCGAGCGAACGGACGAGAAGCUUGCUUUUCUGAUGUUAGCGGCGGACGGGUGAGUAACACGUGGAUAACCUACCUAUAAGACUGGGAUAACUUCGGGAAACCGGAGCUAAUACCGGAUAAUAUUUUGAACCGCAUGGUUCAAAAGUGAAAGACGGUCUUGCUGUCACUUAUAGAUGGAUCCGCGCUGCAUUAGCUAGUUGGUAAGGUAACGGCUUACCAAGGCAACGAUGCAUAGCCGACCUGAGAGGGUGAUCGGCCACACUGGAACUGAGACACGGUCCAGACUCCUACGGGAGGCAGCAGUAGGGAUUCUUCCGCAAUGGGGGAAAGCCUGACGGAGCAACGCCGCGUGAGUGAUGAAGGUCUUCGGAUCGUAAAACUCUGUUAUUAGGGAAGAACAUAUGUGUAAGUAACUGUGCACAUCUUGACGGUACCUAAUCAGAAAGCCACGGCUAACUACGUG
rnacentral:rRNA from 1 species